CCUGGUUGCUCCUGCCAGUAGCAAUAUGCUUGUCUAAAGAUUAAGCCAUGCACGUGUAAGUACACACGCCGGUACAGUGAAACUGCGAAUGGCUCCUUAAAUCAGUUAUGGUUCCUAUGAUUGCUCCAUCUGUACUUGGAUAACUGUGGUCAUUCUAGAGCUAAUACAUGCCGAUGAGAGCUGACCUCCCGGGAUGCAUGGAUUUAUCGACCAACAUAAAUCCGGGCCCGCCCGGGCACUCUUGGUGACUCUAGAUAACCUUGGGCCUAUCGCAUGUCUCUGUGACGGUGACAGUACACUUGGAUGUCUGCCCUAUUCACUUUUGAUGUGACUUUCUUUGCCUACCAUGGUGACCACAGGUAAUGGGGAAUCGGGUUUAAUUCCAUUGUGGGAGCCUGAGAAACGGCUACUACAUCAAAGGAGAGGAGGUAGUGAUGGAAAAUAACAAUGCAGGACUCUUUUGACGCCCUCUAAUUGGAAUGAGUACAUUUUGAAUCCUUUAAUGAGGAUCCAUUUGAGGGCAAGUCUGGUGCCAGCAGCUGCAGUGAUUCCAGCUCCAAUAGCAAAUAUUGAUGUUGCUGAGGUUAAAAAGCUCAUGGUUUGAUCUAGAUUGAGCUGGCGGUCGCCGCGAGGCGACCGCCUGUACCAGCUCCUGCCUCUCAGCGCCCCUUGAUGCUCUUGACUGAGUGUCCUGGGGGUCCGAAGCGUUUACUUUGAAAAAAUUAGAGUGUUCAAAGCAGGCCGGUCGCCUGAAUACUUCAGCUAGGAAUAAUGGAAUAGGACUCCGUUCUAUUUUGUUGGUUUCUGAACUGGGGCCAUGAAUAAGAGGGACGGCCAGCGUCAUUCGUAUUGUGCUCCUAGAGGUGAAAUUCAUGGACUCGUGUAAGACGAGCCAAAGCAGAAGCAUUUGCCAUGGAUGUCUUCAUUAAUCAAGAACAAAAUUCGGAGCUUCGAAGACUUACUGGAUACCGUCGUAGUUCCGCUCAUAAACGAUGCUGAACUAGUGAUUAGAUGACGUUAUUCCCAUGACCUGCCGAGCAGCUUGUGGUUCCAGAGAGAGUAUGAUUGCAAAGUUAAAACUUAAAGGAAUUGAUGGAAGGGCACCACCAGGAGUGGAGCCUGUGGCUUAAUUUGACUCAACACGGCAAACCACCUCGGCCCAGACAAGGAAAGGAUUGAAAGCUCUUUCUCGAUUGUGGGUGGUGUGCAUGGCCUUUCUUAGUUGGUGGAGCGAUUUGUCUGGUUAAUUCGGUUAACGAACGAGACUCCUCCAUGCUAACUAGUUACACACCACCCUCCCUCAUGCUAUUCCCCCAGCUUGUGUUUCUUGGUGGGCAUUCUUAGAGGGUCAAGUGGCAUUCAGCCACGAGAUUGAGCAAUAACAGCUCUUCGGGGCCCUUAGAUGUCCUGGGCUGCACGCACACUGCACUGAAUAAAUCAAUGUGUGUUCUACCCUUCGCCAACAGGUGCGGAUAACCGGCUGAACCCUUUCAUGAUGGGGAUUGCAUUCUUUCCCAUGAACAAGAAAUUCACAGGAAGUACGGGUCAUAACCAUGCGCUAGAUUAAGUCCCUGCCAUUGUACACACCGCCCGUCGCUACUCGCGAUUGGAUAGUUUAGUGUGUUCCUCGGAUCGGCCCUGGCGAGUUUGGCAAUGGCCCUGGUGGAGCGCCGAGAAGACUAUCAAACUUGACUAUUUAGAGGAAGUAAAAGUCUAAGAAGAUUUCCAUAGGUGAACCUGCGGAGG
rnacentral:rRNA from 1 species